rnacentral:piRNA from 1 species
GACACUCAUGUAGGAGUCGGCAGAGC